ensembl:lncRNA
UCCUGGCUGUUGUACACUGAACAAAAUAAUAAACGCAACACUUUUGUUUUUUCCCCCAUUUCUCAUGAGCUGAACUCAAAGAUCUAAGACUAUUUCUAUGUACACAAAAGGCCUAUUUCUCUCAAAUUUUGUUCACAAAUCUGUCUAAAUCUGUGUUAAUGAGCACUUCUCCUUUGCCGAGAUAAUCCAUCCACCUCAUAGGUGUGGCAUAUCAAGAUGCUGAAUAGAUAGCAUGAUUAUUGCUCAGGUGUGCCUUAUGCUGGCCACAAUAAAAGGCCACUCUAAAAUGUGCAGUUUUACUGUAUUGGGGGGUCUGGGGAGGGUGGGGUCCGAAAACCAGUCAGUAUCUGGUGUGACCACCAUUCGCCUCAAGCAGUGCAACACAUCUCCUUCAAAUAGGAUUGUUGGUCCACUCCUCUUCAAUGGCUGUGCAAAGCUGCUGGAUAUUGGUAGGAACUGGAACAUGCUGUCGCAUAUGCCGAUCCAGAGCAUCCCAAACAUGCUCAAUGGGUGACAUGUCCGGUGAGUAUGCUGGGUAUGCAAGAACUGGGAUGUUUUCAGCUUCAAGGAAUUGUGAACAGAUCCUUGCAACAUGGGGUGAUGGUCAUGGAUCAAUGGCACAACAAUGGGCUUCAGGAUCUCGUCAUGGUAUCUCUGUGCAUUCAAAAUGGCAUCAAUAAAAUGCACCUGUAUUCAUUGUCCAUAACAUAUGCCUGCCCAUACCAUAACCCCACUGCCACCAUGGGCCACUCUAUCCACAACAUUGACAUCAGCAAACCUCUCACCCACACAACGCCAUACAUGCUCUCUGCCAUCUGCUCUUUACAGUGAAAACCGGGAUUCAUCCGUGAAGAGAACACCUCUCCAGAGUGCCAGAUGCCAUCGAAUGUGAGCAUGUGCUCACUCAAGUCGGUUACGACGACAAACUGCAGUCAGGUCGAGACCCCGAUGAGGACGACGAGCAUGCAGAUGAGCUUCCCUGAGACGGUUUCUGACAGUUUGUGCAGAAAUUCUUUGGUUAUGCAAACCGAUUGUUGCAGCAGCUGUCUGGGUGGCUGGUCUUAGACGAUCUUGGAGGUGAAGAUGCUGGAUGUGGAGGGCCAGGGCUGGUGUGGUUACUCAUGGUCUGUGAUUGUAAGGCCGGUUGGAUGUACUGCCAAAUUCUCUGAAACGCCUUUGGAGACGGCUUAUGGUUGAGAAAUGAACAUUCAAUUCACGGGCAACAGCUCUGGUGGACAUUCCUGCAGUCAGCAUGCCAAUUGCACGCUCCCUCAAAACUUGCGACAUCUGUGGCAUUGUGUGGUGUGAUAAAACUGCACAUUUUAGAGUGGCCUUUUAUUGUGGCCAGCCUAAGGCACACCUGUGCAAUAAUCAUGCUGUCUAAUCAGCAUCUUGAUAUGCCACACCUGUGAGAAGGAUCGAUUAUUGACAGAUUUGUGAACAAUAUUUGAGAAAAAUAGGCCUUUUGUGUACAUAGAAAAAGUCUUAGAUCUUUGAGUUCAGCUCAUGAGAAAUGGGGUCAAAAACAAAAGUGUUGCGUUUAUAAUUUUGUUCAGUGUAAUAUCAGCACCAGGUAAGAUUAAUCACAUUCAUUUCUGCACUCAGUUACAUAAAAAAACAUAGCUAUGAGUACUGUGCUAGACUAACUGAGACUUGUCAUGGCACUUGUAUACUGUUGUUGUUCUCUCAUUGGUCUGAUUGCUUUUAUUGUUCUCAUUUGAAAGUCGCUUUGGAUAAAAGCGUCUGCUAAAUGAUUAAAUGUAAAUGUAAUUACAUAAUGUUUUAAUUACAUAACGUAACCUUUAUAAAAAUUAAACAUGGGUUUACUACAAAUAAAUAAAACAAUAAAAUACUUAAACUAAAGUAACCAAACAUUAACAUGGUUUUGCUAUACUAGCCAUUUAGCUUCACCAUGGUAUUUGUAGUAAAACAGUGAUUAUACUAAUGGUAAUCAAUCCGAAUUAUUAUACGCAAUGCACGCAUACAGAGUGCGUGAUUGUGACGCCCAGAUGUACAAAACAGACCCUCCCACCUCUGUAAUAAACACGGAUAUGUUAGUCCCAACCGAAUUGGUACAUGAAAAUCGCAGACGUCAGAUGGUAAGAAUCGAAACUCACACAUAGUUUAUAAAACUAGUCCCGUCCGAAUAGGGCUUUUGAAAUAGAAAUCUUUUGUAACAUUAUAAAAGCCUUUACUGUCAAUUUAAUGCAUCCUUUCUGAAUAAAUUAUCUGACCCCAAACUUUUGAAUGGUAGUGCACGUUUGUAAUAUCUACCUAAAGAUAAAACCAUAGGUGGAAAUGUUUUUGAGAAUUUUCACCAGGUAAAUCCUGCGAUUCCAGCCAUCAUGUAAAUUACGGUGAACAGAAAAAAUGUAACAUACAAC